UCGGGCAGAGGGGAUCUCCUUGCCAACUAGCCAGAAGCAUGUAAAAGAAAAUCAAACCAAUUGGGGUCAUCCUUUUAGCCGAUCUUUUUCAUGCCCACUACCUCUUCCAAACGGAACCCUUUGCCAAGGAAAAAACUGGGGCAACUUUGUGAGUCUCAUACAAUUUGUUCAUCAACCCAUGUUCAAGACUGGGGUAGCUUUGUGAGUCUCAUACAAAUUUUUCAUCAACUCAUGAUCCCAAGACUGGGGCAGAUUUGCAAGUCUCAUUUGAUUUGUUCACCCUUAUUUUCAUGGAUCCAUACCCUUAUGCUCAUUUUCCUAAACACUAAACCGGGGCAAAAAUUUUUGGUAUAUCUUGUUUCGUCUUGACACUCACAUAUUCCAUCUCCUUUGAGGAUUGUAGUACUCAUGUGUCGGUCCCAGUUUUCCAAACCGUUCUAAACAGCUCUCAUUCUCUUCAAAACCAUCCUCUUGCCAAUAAAUUCAAGCAUGU
rnacentral:lncRNA from 1 species